rnacentral:snoRNA from 1 species
GCUGCCUCUAGAGGUGUUGCAGCUGUGGCUACUGAGUCAUGUGUGUAUCAGUAGGUGUUAAGAGAGGAGAGAGAAUAUGUCUAGGCUCAGCGCUCUGACCUGUGAAUGUCUUAAUGAUUAGUAGCCUAGCAUU